AUUGAACGCUGGCGGCAGGCUUAACACAUGCAAGUCGAACGAUGACUAACUAGCUUGCUAGUUAUGAUUAGUGGCGGACGGGUGAGUAACAUUUAGGAAUCUGCCUAGUAGUGGGGGAUAGCUCGGGGAAACUCGAAUUAAUACCGCAUACGACCUACGGGUGAAAGGGGGCGCAAGCUCUUGCUAUUAGAUGAGCCUAAAUCAGAUUAGCUAGUUGGUGGGGUAAAGGCCCACCAAGGCGACGAUCUGUAACUGGUCUGAGAGGAUGAUCAGUCACACCGGAACUGAGACACGGUCCGGACUCCUACGGGAGGCAGCAGUGGGGAAUAUUGGACAAUGGGGGCAACCCUGAUCCAGCCAUGCCGCGUGUGUGAAGAAGGCCUUUUGGUUGUAAAGCACUUUAAGCAGGGAGGAGAGGCUAAUGGUUAAUACCCAUUAGAUUAGACGUUACCUGCAGAAUAAGCACCGGCUAACUCUGUGCCAGCAGCCGCGGUAAUACAGAGGGUGCGAGCGUUAAUCGGAAUUACUGGGCGUAAAGCGAGUGUAGGUGGCUCAUUAAGUCACAUGUGAAAUCCCCGGGCUUAACCUGGGAACUGCAUGUGAUACUGGUGGUGCUAGAAUAUGUGAGAGGGAAGUAGAAUUCCAGGUGUAGCGGUGAAAUGCGUAGAGAUCUGGAGGAAUACCGAUGGCGAAGGCAGCUUCCUGGCAUAAUAUUGACACUGAGAUUCGAAAGCGUGGGUAGCAAACAGGAUUAGAUACCCUGGUAGUCCACGCCGUAAACGAUGUCUACUAGCCGUUGGGGUCCUUGAGACUUUAGUGGCGCAGUUAACGCGAUAAGUAGACCGCCUGGGGAGUACGGCCGCAAGGUUAAAACUCAAAUGAAUUGACGGGGGCCCGCACAAGCGGUGGAGCAUGUGGUUUAAUUCGAUGCAACGCGAAGAACCUUACCUGGUCUUGACAUAGUGAGAAUCCUGCAGAGAUGCGGGAGUGCCUUCGGGAAUUCACAUACAGGUGCUGCAUGGCUGUCGUCAGCUCGUGUUGUGAGAUGUUGGGUUAAGUCCCGCAACGAGCGCAACCCUUUUCCUUAUUUGCCAGCGGGUUAAGCCGGGAACUUUAAGGAUACUGCCAGUGACAAACUGGAGGAAGGCGGGGACGACGUCAAGUCAUCAUGGCCCUUACGACCAGGGCUACACACGUGCUACAAUGGUAGGUACAGAGGGUUGCUACACAGCGAUGUGAUGCUAAUCUCAAAAAGCCUAUCGUAGUCCGGAUUGGAGUCUGCAACUCGACUCCAUGAAGUCGGAAUCGCUAGUAAUCGCAGAUCAGAAUGCUGCGGUGAAUACGUUCCCGGGCCU
rnacentral:rRNA from 1 species